rnacentral:rRNA from 1 species
UACAGAGGUCUCAAGCGUUGUUCGGAUUCAUUGGGCGUAAAGGGCUCGUAGGCGGUUCGUCACGUCGGGAGUGAAAACUCGGAGCUUAACUCCGAGCCUGCUUCCGAUACGGGCAGACUAGAGGUAGGCAGGGGAGAGCGGAACUCCUGGUGUAGCGGUGGAAUGCGCAGAUAUCAGGAAGAACACCGGUGGCGAAGGCGGCUCUCUGGGCCUUACCUGACGCUGAGGAGCGAAAGCGUGGGUAGCGAACAGG